rnacentral:rRNA from 1 species
AUUGAACGCUGGCGGCAGGCUUAACACAUGCAAGUCGAACGAGUGGCGGACGGGUGAGUAAUGUAUGGGGAUCUGCCUGAUGGAGGGGGAUAACUACUGGAAACGGUAGCUAAUACCGCAUACCAUCAGAUGAACCCAUAUGGGAUUAGCUUGUAGGUGAGGUAACGGCUCACCUAGGCGACGAUCCCUAGCUGGUCUGAGAGGAUGAUGAGCCAAACUGGAAUUGAGACACGGCCAAGACUCCUACGGGAGGAAGCAGGGGGGAAUAGUGCACAAUGGGGGCAAGCCUGAUGCAGCAAGGCCGCGUGUAGGAAGAAGGCCUGCGGGGUGUAAAGUACUUUCAGGCGGGAGGCGUUACCGACAGAAGAAGCACCGGCGAACUCCGUGCCAGCAGCCGCGGUAAUUC